rnacentral:rRNA from 1 species
CCUACGUGAGGCUGCAGUGAGGAAUAUUGGUCAAUGGACGAGAGUCUGAACCAGCCAAGUAGCGUGAAGGAUGAAUGCCCUAUGGGUUGUAAACUUCUUUUAUAUGGGAAUAAAAUGUUCCACGUGUGGGAUUUUGUAUGUACCAUAUGAAUAAGGAUCGGCUAACUCCGUGCCAGAAGCCGCGGUAAUACGGAGGAGCCGAGCGUUAUCCGGAUUUAGUGGGUUUAAAGGGGGCGUAGGUGGAUAGUGAAGUCAGGUGUGAAAGUGUGCGGCUCAACCGUAAAAUUGCAGUUGAAACUGGCAGUCUUGAGUACAGUAGAGGUGGGCGGUAUUCGUGGUGUAGCGGUGAAAUGCUUAGAUAUCACGAAGAACUCCGAUUGCGAAGGCAGCUCACUGGACUGCAACUGACACUGAGGCUCGAAAGUGUGGGUAUCAAACAGGAUUAGAUACCCCUGUAGUC